UACGGAGGGUGCAAGCGUUGUCCGGAUUUAUUGGGUUUAAAGGGUGCGUAGGCGGCCCGUUAAGUCAGUGGUGAAAGCCUCCAGCUCAACUGGAGAACUGCCAUUGAUACUGACGGGCUUGAGUACAGACGAGGUAGGCGGAAUUGAUUGUGUAGCGGUGAAAUGCAUAGAUACAAUCAAGAACUCCGAUUGCGUAGGCAGUUUACUAGGCUGUAACUGACGCUGAGGCACGAAAGCGUGGGGAGCGAACAGG
rnacentral:rRNA from 1 species